GGGCCGUUAGUUCAGCUGGUAGAGCAGCGGACCUUUUAAUCCGUUGGUCACUGGUUGGUUCGAAUCCAGUACGGCUAC
rnacentral:tRNA from 1 species